rnacentral:rRNA from 1 species
UAAUACGUAGGUGGCAAGCGUUGUCCGGAAUUAUUGGGCGUAAAGCGCGCGCAGGCGGCUUCUUAAGUCUGAUGUGAAAUCUUGCGGCUCAACCGCAAGCGGCCAUUGGAAACUGGGAGGCUUGAGUGCAGAAGAGGAGAGUGGAAUUCCACGUGUAGCGGUGAAAUGCGUAGAGAUGUGGAGGAACACCAGUGGCGAAGGCGGCUCUCUGGUCUGUAACUGACGCUGAGGCGCGAAAGCGUGGGGAGCAAGCAGGAUUAGAUACCCUGGUAGUCCACGCCGUAAACGAUGAGUGCUAAGUGUUAGAGGGUUUCCGCCCUUUAGUGCUGCAGCUAACGCAUUAAGCACUCCGCCUGGGGAGUACGGCCGCAAGGCUGAA